rnacentral:lncRNA from 1 species
UAUUACAUGGAGAUAAUCCACAACUAAAUACUAUUACGGACUUUAUAAUAAACCUAGGAGAAAAAGUUCAAAAAGAAAAUACAAAAAUAUUAAAAACUCUAGUCCAAAUUAUAUGAUAAAUUCUUUAGAAUUUGGAAAAUAUAUAAAGAUAGAUAUUCAUAUUAAAGGAUACAAAGAAAUGAGUAAUGGAAAUAAUUUAUAAAUAUGUGUAGGAUUUAUAGUCUGACUUUACUAUAUAUGCUGUUGUAA